rnacentral:tRNA from 1 species
GGAGGUAUAGCUCAGUAGUAGAGUGUUUGCCUAGCAUGUGAGAGGCCCUGGCUUCAAUUCCUAGAUUUCCA